AAGACCUCAUUCACAAUGAUCACUUUGA
rnacentral:tRNA from 1 species